GAAUUUUGGGCGGAAAAACGGCGUCUCGCGCGGCCGGGUCGCGCGCCCGCGCGCCGAGCCCGCGCGCGCUGUCCAGCAGGUCUGUCUUCGUCGCGCGGCCGCGCGCCUGGACCGCGCGACCUCGCGCGGCCUUGCGCAGUGAUUUUGUUUUGGCUCGUUCUCCCUCGUCCGAACUCCGAUUUACGAACCGUUUGCGCUCACGAACUCCUAUCGAGACGAACUACAACUUCUAUUUCAGCCAAAUCUUCCAAAUUCUGCUUCUUUAUUUC
rnacentral:lncRNA from 1 species